GUGGGCGUAGCUCAAUGGCAGAGCCCCAGCUUGUGGAGCUGGUUGUUGCGGGUUCGAAUCCCGUCGCUCACC
rnacentral:tRNA from 1 species